ACGUUCCUCGAGUUCCCCACGAAACUGUUGAUACAUUGGUUCAAUCUGUUAACACGCCCUUGCCGAUUGCAAGCUUGAACAAUUUUUUGGAAUUCAAUAAAGCUGUAAGCGAAGAGCAAGAGAAGAAAGACGCAUUGAUCGCUCUGUUCAACUUUCUUUGCUUCGAACACACAACGGCUCAGAAAUGCAUUGAUAAUGCGCUGCCAAGGAUUUUCCGGAAGGAAGUUCAGGAAACAUAUUCUGGUCAAGGAAAAACGGUUAAAGGAGUCGGGAAAUUCGAUUUCAGCGCUACAGCGACUUUCACGUUUUUUCAAGAGGCAAUAAGAACAAAGUUCGGCGAAUCUGAUGAAUCCAAAGCACUGAAAUCGAAGAUUGGUAUUUGGCUGUCGCAUUUUGGAGACCGAGAAGGUGGACGUAAGGAACGUUGCUGCGUUUUCGAGAGCUCAGCAUAAGCUUUAAAAAAAACUUUACUUAUAACUUUAUAAACUUUACAUAACUUAAAAAAAAUAUAAAAUUGUAAGUGACAGGCGAGCGACUUACAGUAGAUUCAUUCAUUUUACUAUAUUAAAAUAUUACUAUACUAACAAAUUGUACUGAAUAGAAUUGUACUGUAAGAUUUGAAAUAUUUUUUCAUGAUAUUUAUUUCAUGUACCAUUGAAUAAUUGUAGUCUUCAUUUAACAAUAAAUCGAGCGGUGGGCAAAUAUUGAAAAGACUACAUUGGACCACUAUAAAGAUCGAGUGUUGGGCCAUCAUCGGUGUAUUACAUUGGCUGAAUAUCAAAAUUCCUUCUGGGCCUAGGCACGCACCCAACAGUGGCCUUAUAUCGAGAACAGAUGAUGGGGCCUGCCGUCGUUGGGCAUUUACGGCGGCUGACUAUUGCGACCAAUUCUUGGCCUAUGCAAGCACCCAAUAAUGGGCUUACAUCGAGUGCCGAUUAUCAGCCUAUUCAAAAUUAGCCAUCUUGGGGCCAAUGUUGACUGCCAACAGUGGCAUGUGGUUAUCAUCCAAGAUUUGCUCGAUGAUUGGACCAAGCUUGGAUGCCAAUGUUGGCACUAUCGGCAGCGAGGUUGGCCCAAGCGUCGGGC